rnacentral:rRNA from 1 species
AGGUAGUUUGCUCGUGACGUACAGGAUAGACGCUGGCGGCGUGCCUAAUACAUGCAAGUCGAGCGAACCACUUCGGUGGGAAGCGGCGAACGGGUGAGUAACACGUAGGUGAUCUGCCCAUCAGACGGGGACAACGAUUGGAAAGAUCGCUAAUACCGGAUAGGACGAAAGUUUUAAAGAUGCUCCUGGCAUCACUGAUGGAUGAGCCUGCGGCGCAUUAGCUAGUUGGUGGGGUAAAGGCCUACCAAGGCGACGAUGCGUAGCCGACCUGAGAGGGUGAACGGCCACACUGGGACUGAGACACGGCCCAGACCCCUACGGGAGGCAGCAGUAGGGAAUCUUCGGCAAUGGGCGAAAGCCUGACCGAGCAACGCCGCGUGAAUGAAGAAGACCUUCGGGUUGUAAAAUUCUGUUAUAAGGGAAGAAAGGUGAUAGGAGGAAAUGACUAUCAAUUGACGGUACCUUAUGAGAAAGCCACGGCUAACUACGUG